UGCCGCGUGCAGGAAGACUGCCUUAUGGGUUGUAAACUGCUUUUAUACAGGAAGAAACAUCCCGACGUGUCGGGACUUGACGGUACUGUAAGAAUAAGGAUCGGCUAACUCCGUGCCAGCAGCCGCGGUAAUACGGAGGAUCCAAGCGUUAUCCGGAAUCAUUGGGUUUAAAGGGUCCGUAGGCGGGCUUGUAAGUCAGUGGUGAAAGUCUGUGGCUCAACCAUAGAAUUGCCAUUGAUACUGCUAGUCUUGAAUUAUUAUGAAGUGGUUAGAAUAUGUAGUGUAGCGGUGAAAUGCUUAGAUAUUACAUGGAAUACCAAUUGCGAAGGCAGAUCACUAAUAAUAUAUUGACGCUGAGGGACGAAAGCGUGGGUAGCGAACAGGAUUAGAUACCCUGGUAGUCCACGCCGUAAACGAUGGAUACUAGCUGUUGGGCUUCGGCUCAGUGGCUAAGCGAAAGUGAUAAGUAUCCCACCUGGGGAGUACGUUCGCAAGAAUGAAACUCAAAGGAAUUGACGGGGGCCCGCACAAGCGGUGGAGCAUGUGGUUUAAUUCGAUGAUACGCGAGGAACCUUACCAGGGCUUAAAUGUAGUUUGACCGAUUUGGAAACAGAUCUUUC
rnacentral:rRNA from 1 species